rnacentral:rRNA from 1 species
GACGAACGCUGGCGGUAUGCUUAACACAUGCAAGUCGAACGCCCCGCAAGGGGAGUGGCAGACGGGUGAGUAACGCGUGGGAAUCUACCGUGCCCUACGGAAUAGCUCCGGGAAACUGGAAUUAAUACCGUAUACGCCCUACGGGGGAAAGAUUUAUCGCCAAAAGAUGAGUCCGCGUACGAUUAGCUAGUUGGUGAGGUAAUGGCUCACCAAGGCGACGAUCGUUAGCUGGUCUGAGAGGACGAUCAGCCACACUGGGACUGAGACACGGCCCAGACUCCUACGGGAGGCAGCAGUGGGGAAUAUUGGACAAUGGGGGCAACCCUGAUCCAGCCAUGCCGCGUGAGUGAUGAAGGCCUUCGGGUUGUAAAGCUCUUCUGGCGGGGACGAUGAUGACGGUACCCGCAGAAUAAGCCCCGGCUAACUUCGUGCCAGCCGCCGCCGUAA